rnacentral:tRNA from 1 species
UCCCCGAUGGUCUAGCGGUUAGGAUUCCUGGCUCUCACCCAGGCGGGCCCGGGUUCGACUCCCGGUCGGGGAA